AGAGUUUGAUCCUGGCUCAGGACGAACGCUGGCGGCGUGCCUAACACAUGCAAGUCGAACGGACUCUUAAAUUUAGUUUACUAAAUUUAAGAGUUAGUGGCGGACGGGUGAGUAACGCGUGGGCAAUCUGCCCUUAAGACAGGGAUAACAGUUGGAAACGACUGCUAAUACCAGAUACGCUUUUUGGUUGGCAUCAACCGAAAAGGAAAAGAGGCCUCUAAAUUAUGCUUCUGCUUAAGGAUGAGCCCGCGUCUGAUUAGCUAGUUGGUGAGGUAAAGGCCCACCAAGGCAACGAUCAGUAGCCGGCCUGAGAGGGUGAACGGCCACACUGGGACUGAGACACGGCCCAGACUCCUACGGGAGGCAGCAGUGGGGAAUAUUGCGCAAUGGGCGAAAGCCUGACGCAGCAACGCCGUGUGAGGGAUGAAGGCUUUCGGGUCGUAAACCUCUGUCGGAAGGGAAGAACGGGCAUUGGUCUAAUAGGCCUUUGUUUUGACGGUACCUUUAGAGGAAGCACCGGCUAACUCCGUGCCAGCAGCCGCGGUAAUA
rnacentral:rRNA from 1 species